rnacentral:tRNA from 1 species
GCCCCCGUAGUUCAAUGGACAGAACAAAGGACUCCUAAGCCUUAGAUACAGGUCCGAUUCCUGUCGGGGGCA